rnacentral:snRNA from 1 species
UCUGUUUCAGUCGCGAUUUAGACC